CAGAAACACCAUAAAUAACCUGCUACAAGCAGAAAGGGAGGAUACAAAAUGCCACAAUACCAAGCCAAUUGAUGGCUCCAUGCAAGAAGCCCUUGGAAAAAUUAUACCAGCAAUGACACCAUUUGCAAAGAUACCGAGUUACAAUUUGUUAUAGAUUACAGUUUGUUGUCUCAGUCCAGGUAAAGCAGUGUCUCAAUAGAUUAACUCACAGUCCAGGUAAAUCACAGUCCAGGUAAGUUCUGCAGGCAGCUAGCUUGAUUUCACAGUCCAGGUAAGUUCUGCAGGCAGCUAGCUUAAAUCACAGUCCAGGUAAGUUCUGCAGGCAGCUAGCCUAAGCUGCAGUAGCAGAAACAGCAACAGCUCCGAAGUCUCGUCCUUUUCUCAGCCGAAGUCUCAUCCAGUUUUCAGCAACACUGGAAAUUCUUCCACCUUGGUCUUUACUGGCACUGGGAUGAAGGCAGGAACUCCGGAUGGCUAAAGAAAAUCCUGUAGCAUUUCACUAAGAAAACAACCUUCUGAACAAUUUAGUACAUUAUCUCAAGGUUUUUUUGCAUUUGAAAUAAGCAUUAAUAGUGCUCAUUAUUUAUCAGCCUCUAGGUCAGGUCUAGAUUUGGGCUCUCACAGUGGCGUUCUGCUUCCCCGGUGGGGGGCAGGGAAGAGCCGGCUGCCGCAGCUUGGAAAUUCCUUGCUGCGCCAUGAUCGGCUCCUACACGCGGCAGCCUCCAUGCGGCUUCAUGCACCCUCCGAUAACGAAAAGUAUUUAGUAGUAGCCUUUUGCAAUUUCUUUUUUCCUGAUAAUCCUUCUUCUUCUGAACUUUCUUUUUCUUUCUGACUAGAGUUCCUGGGCUUCCAUCAACACAUGCCCUAAC
rnacentral:lncRNA from 1 species